UGGGGAAUAUUGCGCAAUGGGCGGAAGCCUGACGCAGCGACGCCGUGUGGGGGAUGACGGCCUUCGGGUUGUAAACUCCAGUCACCACUGGCGAAGCCUUGCCUUUUUGGGUGGGGUGACGGUAGGUGGGGUGGAAGCGCCGGCUAACUACGUGCCAGCAGCCGCGGUAAUACGUAGGGCGCAAGCGUUGUCCGGAUUUAUUGGGCGUAAAGAGCUCGUAGGUGGUUCGUUGCGUCUGCCGUGAAAUCCCACUGGCUUAACUGUGGGCGUGCGGUGGAUACGGGCGGACUUGAGGUAGGUAGGGGAGAAUGGAAUUCCCGGUGUAGCGGUGAAAUGCGCAGAUAUCGGGAGGAACACCGGUGGCGAAGGCGGUUCUCUGGGCCUUACCUGACGCUGAGGAGCGAAAGCGUGGGGAGCGAACA
rnacentral:rRNA from 1 species